AGCAGCCGCGGUAAUUCCAGCUCCAAUAGCGUAUAUUAAAGUUGUUGCAGUUAAAAAGCUCGUAGUUGAAUUUCGGGACCAAUAUGUCGGUCGUACUUUGUACGUACUAGCAUUAUUGGUUUCUCCCUUCUGAAGAACCACGAUGUCAUUAAUUUGGUGUCGUGGGGAAUCAGGACUGUUACUUUGAAAAAAUUAGAGUGUUUAAAGCAGGCUCGCGCUUGAAUACAUUAGCAUGGAAUAAUGAAAUAGGACGUUUGAUUCUAUUUUGUUGGUUUCUAGGAUCGACGUAAUGAUUAAUAGGGAUAGUUGGGGGCAUUAGUAUUCAAUUGUCAGAGGUGAAAUUCUUGGAUUUAUUGAAGACUAACUACUGCGAAAGCAUUUGCCAAGGAUGUUUUCAUUAAUCAAGAACGAAAGUUAGGGGAUCGAAGACGAUCAGAUACCGUCGUAGUCUUAACCAUAAACUAUGCCGACUAGGGAUCGGAUGAUGUUAAUUUUUAAUGACUCAUUCGGCGCCUUACGG
rnacentral:misc_RNA from 1 species